AAUUGGACGUGAAAGCUCCUGGCUCAACUAGGAGAGGUCGUUCAAAACUGCCUGGCUAGAGGGCGACAGAGGGAGGUGGAAUUCCCGGUGUAGUGGUGAAAUGCGUAGAUAUCGGGAGGAACACCAGUGGCGAAGGCGGCCUCCUGGGUCGCCCCUGACGCUCAGACGCGAAAGCUAGGGGAGCAAACGGGAUUAGAUACCCCGGUAGUCCUAGCUGUAAACGAUGUGGACUUGGCGUUGGUGGGGUCAAAUCCAUCAGUGCCGGAGCUAACGCGAUAAGUCCACCGCCUGGGGACUACGGUCGCAAGGUUAAAACUCAAAGGAAUU
rnacentral:rRNA from 1 species